rnacentral:rRNA from 1 species
AGUGAACGCUGGCGGUAGGCCUAACACAUGCAAGUCGAACGGCAGCACAGUAAGAGCUUGCUCUUACGGGUGGCGAGUGGCGGACGGGUGAGGAAUACAUCGGAAUCUACUUUUUCGUGGGGGAUAACGUAGGGAAACUUACGCUAAUACCGCAUACGACCUACGGGUGAAAGCAGGGGAUCUUCGGACCUUGCGCGAUUGAAUGAGCCGAUGUCGGAUUAGCUAGUUGGCGGGGUAAAGGCCCACCAAGGCGACGAUCCGUAGCUGGUCUGAGAGGAUGACGCGCCACUGGGAAAGUGAGACACGGACCAGACCCCGAGGGGAGGCACAGGUGGGGAAUUGUGGAAAUGGGGGGGAAGCCUGUCCCACCCACGCCGGGGGGGGGGAGAAGGCCUUCGGGUGGUAAGGCCCUUUUGUGGGGAAAAAAAGGAGGCGGGUGAAACCCCCGGUGUUUGAAGGUAACCAAAAAAAAAGGCACGGCUAAAUUUGGG